CCUACGGGAGGCAGCAGUAAGGAAUCUUCCGCAAUGGGCGAAAGCCUGACGGAGCAACGCCGCGUGGGCGAUGAAGGCCUUCGGGUCGUAAAGCCCUUUUCUGUGGGACGAUAAUGACGGUACCACAGGAAUAGGCCACGGCUAACUACGUGCCAGCAGCCGCGGUAAUACGUAGGUGGCUAGCGUUAUCCGGAUUCACUGGGCGUAAAGAGCGCGUAGGCGGUGUGCUAAGUUGGACGUGAAAGCCCCCGGCUUAACCGGGGGAGGUCGUCCAAUACUGGUGCACUUGAGGGUGGACGGGGAAAGCGGAAUUCCCGUUGUAGUGGUAAAAUGCGUAGAUAUCAGGAGGAACACCCGUGGCGAAGGCGGCUUCCGGGCCACAAGCUGACGCUGAGGUGCGAAAGCCAGGGGAGCGAACGGGAUUAGAUCCCCCUGUAGU
rnacentral:rRNA from 1 species